rnacentral:rRNA from 1 species
AUUGAACGCUGGCGGAAUGCUUUACACAUGCAAGUCGAACGGCAGCACGGGGGCAACCCUGGUGGCGAGUGGCGAACGGGUGAGUAAUACAUCGGAACGUGCCCGGUCGUGGGGGAUAACGUAGCGAAAGGUACGCUAAUACCGCAUACGAUCUGAUGAUGAAAGCUGGGGACCUUCCGCCCUCGCGCGAUCUGAGCGGCCAAUGGCAGAUUAAUGAGUUGGUGGGGUAAAGGCCUACCAAGCCGACGAUCUGUAGCUGGUCUGAGAGGAAGACCUGCGCAACCGGGACUGGAGAACGGACCAGAACCCUGCGGGAGGCAGCAGGCGGGGAUUUUGGACAAUGGGAGCAAGGCUGAUCCAGGCAUUACGCGUGCAGGCCGAAGGCCUUCGGGUUGUAAAAUGCUUUUGUAUGGAACGAAAAGGCUCUGGCUAAUACCUGGGGAUCAUGACGGUACCGUAAGAAUAAGCACCGGCUAACUACGUG